CCUGGCUCAGGAUGAACGCUGGCGGCGUGCUUAACACAUGCAAGUCGAACGAAGCACUUUUACGGAAUCCUUCGGGAGGAAGUGACUGUGACUGAGUGGCGGACGGGUGAGUAACGCGUGGGUAACCUGCCUCACACAGGGGGACAACAGCUGGAAACGGCUGCUAAUACCGCAUAAGCGCACAGUGCCGCAUGGCACGGUGUGAAAAGAUUCAUCGGUGUGAGAUGGACCCGCGUCUGAUUAGCCAGUUGGCAGGGUAACGGCCUACCAAAGCGACGAUCAGUAGCCGGCUUGAGAGAGUGACCGGCCACAUUGGGACUGAGACACGGCCCAGACUCCUACGGGAGGCAGCAGUGGGGAAUAUUGCACAAUGGGGGAAACCCUGAUGCAGCGACGCCGCGUGAGCGAAGAAGUAUUCGGUAUGUAAAGCUCUAUCAGCAGGGAAGAUAAAUGACGGUACCUGACU
rnacentral:rRNA from 1 species